rnacentral:rRNA from 1 species
UACGGGGGGGGCAAGCGUUGUUCGGAAUUAUUGGGCGUAAAGGGCUCGUAGGCGGUCUGUUGCGUCGGGAGUGAAAACUCAGGGCUUAACCCUGAGCCUGCUUCCGAUACGGGCAGACUAGAGGUAUGCAGGGGAGAACGGAAUUCCUGGUGUAGCGGUGAAAUGCGCAGAUAUCAGGAGGAACACCGGUGGCGAAGGCGGUUCUCUGGGCAUUACCUGACGCUGAGGAGCGAAAGUGUGGGGAGCGAACAGG